UACGUAGGGUGCAAGCGUUGUCCGGAAUUAUUGGGCGUAAAGAGCGUGUAGGCGGCCCGAUAAGUCCGCCGUGAAAGUCCAGGGCUCAACCCUGGAAUGCCGGUGGAAACUGUCGGGCUGGAGUCCGGAAGAGGCGAGUGGAAUUCCUGGUGUAGCGGUGGAAUGCGCAGAUAUCAGGAGGAACACCAAUAGCGAAGGCAGCUCGCUGGGACGGUACUGACGCUAAGGCGCGAAAGCGUGGGGAGCGAACAGG
rnacentral:rRNA from 1 species